rnacentral:rRNA from 1 species
UAAUACGUAGGUGACAAGCGUUGUCCGGAUUUACUGGGCGUAAAGAGCGCGCAGGCGGUCGAUCAAGUCGAGUGUGAAAGCCCCCGGCUCAACUGGGGAGGGUCAUUCGAUACUGAUCGACUCGAAGGCAGGAGAGGGUAGUGGAAUUCCCGGUGUAGUGGUGAAAUGCGUAGAUAUCGGGAGGAACACCAGUGGCGAAGGCGACUACCUGGCCUGUUCUUGACGCUGAGGCGCGAAAGCUAGGGGAGCAAACGGGAUUAGAUACCCCGGUAG